UAGCUCCAAGUCUGAGAUUGCAGCAAUCACUGAUGGCAGAGUGAAGAGAUGGAAAAUAGCAGGAUCCUAGAUGACUUCGUGAGCUGCUGUUCAAGCGACCCCUGCCCCACCUCUGGACUUUGUCAAAUAUGAGUGUGGAGGGAAUUACUGGAUGAAUGAAAAGGAACAUGGUGGCCAUGUGGCCUGUUGCCCCCAAGUACUACUUGGAGACCAGCCUGGCAUGGAAAUGACCAGAUGUUUGAAGCUGAGCCACUGCCAGGUGCCAUGGCAUGAACUGCUCUAGGGGGAGGCCAAUGUAGCAAGCAACUGACAGAGCUGGCAAGGAAAUGAGGCUCUU